GACACGGCUGCCUCCCGCCCGCCGCGCGCUGGGCGCUCAGAGUCUCGGGCGCGGCGGGAGCGCAGUUAAAGCCGAUCUCCCGCGCCCCGAGGUUGCUCCUCUCCGAGGUCUCCCGCGGCCCAAGUUCUCUGCGCCCCGAGGUCUCCGCGGCCAGAGGUCUCCGCCCGCACCAUGCGGCUGGGCAGUCCUGGACUGCUCCUCCUGCUCUUCAGCAGCCUUCGAGCCGAUACUCAGGAGAAGGAAGUCAGAGCGAUGGUGGGCAGCGACGUGGAGCUCAGCUGCGCGUGCCCCGAAGGAAGCCGUUUUGAUUUAAAUGACGUUUACGUAUACUGGCAAACCAGCGAGUCGAAAACCGUGGUGACUUACCACAUCCCGCAGAACAGCUCCUUGGACAACGUGGACAGCCACUACCGGAACCGGGCCCUGAUGUCACCGGCCGGCAUGCAGCGGGGCGACUUCUCCCUGCGCUUGUUCAACGUCACCCCCCAGGAUGAGCAGAAGUUUCACUGCCUGGUAUUGAGCCAAUCCCUGGGAUUUCAGGAGGUGCUGAGCGUUGUGGUCACGCUGCAUGUGGCAGCAAACUUCAGCGUGCCUGUUGUCAGCACCCCCCACAGCCCCUCCCAGGAUGAGCUCACCUUCACGUGUACAUCCAUAAACGGCUACCCCAGGCCCAACGUGUACUGGAUCAACAAGACGGACAACAGCCUGCUGGACCAGGCUCUGCAGAACGACACUGUCUUCUUGAACACGCGGGGCUUGUACGACGUGGUCAGUGUGCUGAGGAUCGCGCGGACCCCCAGCUUGAACAUCGGCUGCUGCAUAGAGAACGUGCUUCUGCGGCAGAACCUGACCGUCGGCAGCCAAACAGGAAACAACAUCGGAGAGAGAGACAAGAUCACAGAGAAUCCAGUCAGUACCCGCGAGAAGACCGAGGUCACGUGGAGCGUCCUGGCUGUCCUGUGCCUGCUUGUGGCCGUGGCGGUGGCCAUAGGCUGGGUGUGCCGGGACCGAUGGCUCCGCCGCAGCUAUGCAGGUGUCUGGGCUGUGAGGCCGGAGCCAGAGCUCGCUGGUGAGUUUGCCAUGGGAAGCAGCAGGUUCUGGGGUGCCUGAGGGAGGCUUGGCUGGCAGCUGUCUUUCAGAUUGUCAAAAAACUUUCAAAAGGCAAAAGUCCUUUGCCUUGAACAACUGUUGCUCCCAGAGACGCAGUGAAGCCCUCGAUGGCGCGCAUGGCAUUUCCUGCAGCCUCCCCUUGGCAUGGGAUGGCAUCCUGGUGUGCACUUUCUCACACUGCAAUGGGAUUUUCCCAACAUGCACAGAAGCAGAGAGACGAGUGCUGGACCCCUGUGUUCCCCAGCGCCCAACCCCCACCAGGAUGUCCGGAGCAGGUCCAGGCACUGGCGCCCAGCCCCCACCGGGGUGUCCAGAGCAGGUCCAGGCACUGGCACCCAGCCCCCACGGGGUGUCCAGAGCAGGUCCAGGCACUGGCGCCCAGCCCCCACCGGGGUGUCCAGAGCAGGUCCAGGCACUGGCACCCAGCCCCCAUGGGAUGUUCAGAGCGGGUCCAGGCACUGGUGCCCAGCCCCCACGGGGUGUUCAGAGGGGUCCAGGCACUUGCGCCCACCCCUACCAGGAUGUCCGGAGCAGGUCCAGGCACUGCCGACUUCUCUCUGCAGCAGCCACUCCUGCAGCUCUCGGGCGGCUCCCUGUCUCCCGGUGGAGGUGUGCCCCUCAGUCCCAGGAGCAACAUAGAUGUGGAUUCCUGUCCAAUUUGGGAAAAAUGUCCACACACAGUCACCUACCUGGCAGGUGCCUCUGGCUGCAAGGGGUGUUUGGCUUUGCAGGCAGGCCAGCUGGGCUCCCCGCCAUGGACCAGGAUCCCCUCUGAGCCCCGUUUGCCAUCCAUGAGCAGGGGUUCCCCGGGGACAGUGGGCUCAGGGUGUGCACAGCCACCACGCUGUGGUGUCACCUGUGGACCCCAGCGAGCGGAUGGCUGACUGCAGAAACUCACUUCCAAGGCCAGGUCAGCCCGUCCAGAUGACACAUGAACACAGCCUGCUGAAAACAAGCCGGCCUGUUCCUACCAGAGCCAGUCGAAGUGCCUUGUGCAGGUGGCUGUUUCCGAAGCUCUAAACCCUUUGUUUCCACCAAGCUGAGUCCUGAGAAAACUGACGUCUGCCUGCAGAAUGGAAAGGGGUGCUUCAUGUUCCUCUCUCUUCUUCACUUCCCUUCCAAGGCCAUGUUUGACCGGAGCUCACCGCCAGAGCGUGGACAGGGCUUCCGUGAGACGCCACCAUGAGAGGCCAGGUGGCAGCUUGAGAAUGGACUCGCACAGGUGCCUCCCAGACUGCAGGGGAGCACUUGGGGCCGCCCCCAGAAGGACCACUGCUGGAUCCCAGCGAGAACCUGCUGGCGUUGGCUGUGAUCCUGGAAUGAGGCCCUUUCAAAAUCGUCAUCCACACCAAAGGCAAAUCCCCACUGUCACUACCAGUCACUCACAGGAAGGGACUGGUGAUGGGCUCUUUCCACCCGGAGCAUGCGAGAUUCAACGCCAGGCUCUUCCCGGUACCCCAGACCUACUGUGGGUCUUCCCGUGGGAUGCGGGGCCCUGAGACUGAAGGGUGUUUGGUUUCAAAAGACGACUCUGGGUGUCCACUCUUCCAGGACGGCCUCUGUGCUGCUGGGGUCGCGCGAGGCUGUUUGCAGGAGGCACGGUCCCAGGAGCUCUUCUGCCCUGGAUGCUCCCAACCUACCUCCUGCCCAGAGGCCACAGGACCCACACAUGUGCGUGUCCACAAGUGUAGGCAGCCGUCCACACCAAGGAGCCCCUGGAAGGCCCCACUGGGCUUCGUUGUCCUCUGCCACAUUCCCCGGGAGGAACAGUGGCCCUCGGCUGUUCUGGUGAAAAGCUGAGCUGCCUUUGGAAGAGGUGCUGGUGGAGUUUGCCAGAAGAAAGGCUGUGCCACAGCUGUGUUUGGCCAGCUGUAGAGGCUGCCAGGGCUCUUGGCUCUGCAGUGAGAAAGAUACAGCCCUGGGCACAGCCCAGCAGGGCUGGAGAUGCCCAUGUCCAGUAGGUGCAGGCCUGGCAACACGAUCCCCAGAGUCCUGAGCAGAAGUUGAGAGGGCAUCACCUGGUGACCACGGUCCCCCUUGUCACCACAGCAGUGAUCCCCAAAGUGAGGGGUGGCUCCCCCGUCCUCCGCUGCCCUCAGCAGCCCCACCCCACUCAACCAUGAGGGUCCCCAGGGUCCCCAGGGUCCUGAUGAAGACAUCCGACCCCAGCACCAGGCUCCUCGGAGCUCAACAGUCCCAAGGGCGCAGGAGACAGGGUGGCCCACUGCUGAGGGGUGUGGCCCUGGGUCCUGACACGCCCCAGCACUGUGCUAGUGCCUGGAAUGAAUCAGCUGCUGACUGUCUCCAGGAGGGCUGGAAAGGACACUACCAGGUGACCCAGGGUGCACUUGCCCCAGGGAGAUGGAGUAGAUGACCUGGCCUGGCCCUGGGGACACGUGUCUACCCCGGGGCUAUGGGCAAACGCCCCUCCUUCUUCCUUCCCAGAGUUCCUGACAUUCUUGGGGGCAGCCAGGACCUGUUACAGCCCUGGUCACUUGGAACUGACAGCUGUGUGAGGCCUGCACUUCUCAGACCCAGACUACAACAAAAUGAGGAGUGAGGGCUCAUGAUUACUAUGAGAUUCUAGUACUUGUCACAAGAAAUUGGUUUUCUACGAAAAAAGUCCCUACCUGGGCCUUUAAGUGAAUCCACUCCUGCUUUUAACAUGAAAGCAUUAGAAGAUGUGUGGUGUUUGUAAAAGUACAGUUGUCAUCACCGGGCAUUGACUGGCAGGGACAAGGAGCUGCUUGGGUGUGGAAAUUUGGGGCGUUGGAAAGCGGGGUGUGGUGCCCAUUUGCGGUGACUGUGAAGUGACUCCAGGACAGAGCUGCGGGAGCACCCAGAGGUCCUAAGCCCCAGGACUGAGGGUGGUGCAUCACCACUCGGGUGUCCCGGGAGGUGCCCUGGGCCCAGGGGACCUCACGGGCAGGAUGGUGACACCCUUGCAGGGAGAGGGAGUCUGGCUCCAGCUUUUCCCAUUGGAGGUGAUUUUCCUUCACCAGGGGACAGGCAGGAAAGAUGCAGGAGCCCCAGAAGCUUCUACCUCUCAUGCCUGGGGCCCAGGGGACACUUGGAGGCUGCUGUCACCACUGCGCGUCCAGGGCCAUGCCCUCUGCGGGUGAGUGCCUGAGUCUCGCCUCCCUGCUGGUCCCCGAAGUCCCCCUCAGAAGCCCUGCAUGGUGGGAUUUGUAAGACCCACCCUGUAACGCCUGCCCCUCUCAGCCCAAGACAUCAGCUUCCUCGUUCUCCUGUGCUGUAGAUAGGCUGAAUUCCAGUGUUGUGACAGCCGUCUCCAGUAAUCUGACUUGAGAGAGUAAGAUGCAAAUAGU